rnacentral:misc_RNA from 1 species
UCAUGCAGCGCCUCACUGUUAUAAAUCGGUGAACUAUAAGGCGUGAAAAAUGGCCUCGUAAGCGAGAAAUGACAGCCCAAUUUACGUUGCGUCCCAUUUCAUAAUUAUUUGCUUUGUGCUAGUGUUGUGGUGUGCAAUGUAUUAAGAAAACUUGUAAAAAUGGACGGAUACUAAGCUGUAUAAGGAACAAACUUUAGAAAGUAACAUUUUCCUCUCCUUUCGACAGCUGUCAAAUCGCGUGUUUUUUCGCAUUUUCAAGGCUUCAUUUUGGACUCAAUUUACGGCUAUUUAUAAAGUGUCAAAGGAAAGGAUUAGUAUCCGUCCAUUUUUACAGGUGUGCUGAAGAGAUUGGUAGUCUUAUUUCAUUCAAAUAUGUUUUUAUUUAGAUGUCAGUCGCAAUAUAAAUCUGGGUGUCCUUUCUCGCUUAUGACGUCACGAUUUCAAGAUGGCCGCGGUGACUACUCCGGAGCCUUAACACUUACGACGAAUAAAUUUUAAAAUUACCUUACCGGCAAGCAAGCACAUGUCAACAAAAAUAAAUACGCGGAAAUCAAGCAGUUGGAUACUGCCAGAUUAGCAGAUGUGGAAGAGUAUGUCUACCAGAAAUUCGGGAGGUCGGCGGAUCAUACUAAACUGUUUCGCAUCGCUGUACGAAACAAAUGUAACAAUGCCAAAAAACAAACAUCUGUUUCAUCGUCAAGAUAAAUGAGACUAUCAGUAUUAAAACAUUUUUUUAUUUCAUG